UGUUGCUUCCGACAACACGCGAUGUCUCUGAAAUGAAUCGCCGGAUUUGCUUCAUUUUCAGCGGAGAGCUACAUCACGUGUAGUACAUGAUAUGAGUCUCUCCGAGUGGACCCAAAAACCAGCCACUUUAGCACUUGUGGAUGCUUGUACUUGUCUUCAUCCCCGAUGUUCCAUUGCUUGAACCUUCCAAGAAGUCAUUUCGGACUUGAUCAGGGGAACUGAGAGCGAGCUCAGUCUACCCAGUGCAAAGGCUGCCAUGCUAGCGCCGCACAGACAACGGUGGACAUGAUGUGGACAGUUCUACGAAGCAGGACGCGUGUAACAGUGACAAGCGGCACGAGACAGCCGUCCGCUGCCUGUAAAAACUCACGUGUGCGAGAAGGAGGGUGUGCUCACCGCACAAAACUCAGGGCAAACUGGACCUGUCAGAAAUAUCAGUCUUUCCACUGCUCGGUGCUGUUCUCAUGGUUCCGCAGCGCAAACAAAGUGUCGACAGGUCCGCAGUGUGUGCCGAGAGCCUAUGUCGAUCGUCGGAGGGGAUCGCCACGUAGAAGUCUACGUGUCCUCACGAGUGGUUGCUGGCAACUCCAAGACUCCGCAUGCUCAUCAAGAACGUAGUUGUCGUGAUUCCCAGUUUGUUUCAGACCAGCAAGCAUCGAAGUAGUGAGACGUCGACGCUGUCAGUCGCGUAUCGUAUGUCCCGCGGGUGGAAAUCUCGUGAUCUGCCAAAACGCUCACAACUUCUGUGUCAACAAGUUUCCUUUCAAGGCCAGGCAGGACCGCUUGGCAGCUGAGCCACAACGGCACAAGUGGGGACGCUGACGGAGUACGCUCCCACACUACAACAGGAACGGUCGACCGGUCGCGCGGUACCAUUCGGAUUUCUGUCUUUCAGCACCACUCAGUGACACGCAGCACUGGAUUGAGACAAGACGAAGAAUAGAUGGCAGAAGUGACAGAAUCAUGUGAAGAAUUGUAUCAUGUGAUCGUCAGCAUUGCAUGCUCCGUGCGCCUGGAGAUGUGCACUGCAAAAGGUGCCAAAUUAUCACUGAAUGAUAGAAAGAGCCCAUGCGGGCCACCUACUAGUACUAGUACUAGUAGUAGCCCCUACGGCCCUAGUGCUCCUGAUUCUUGAUUAUUAUAGUGAUCGGUACCAGUAAACCAUGUAUACGAACAACAACACAUGAUGUGCAACGCUGGAUAUGUCACAGCGCUAAGAAUGCAACUAUGAUUGCAAUGUAGUCUGGUCCAAGUGUGUCCGUGCGAAGCACAUCGCGAUGGGACCGUAUGUAGUAGGCCAAUGAUCCAUGACAAUGAACGAUUCCACUAGGCUGUGCCGAUUCGUGUACAGAAAUUCCCAGUCGACGGGGCGCGGCGGGUACAAGCUACCGUCAGAAAAUCUGAGCCAUCGAUGCAUCAGAUGUAAGUGAAUGCAAUUUUACGACCCUCCACUCCAGCAAUUGAAUCCGGGGAGAGAGUGACACCAUUCUGGACAGUGAGUGACAUCACCCUGAACUGUUCAUUGUUAGGACAUCAGCUGGGAAGGCAUGCCCAGCGAGUCUACCGUCUCAAGCUAAGGGCCAUCUACAUGAAGGGACGGAAUAAGUUGAGAACACUGCUUCUUCAACGAUUGAUGUCCGUGUGGUCCAGCAAUGUUGAAUAAUUAUACCGUUGUGCAAUUGAUCAAUGACAAUUGGAGUUUGGGAAGUUCAUAAAGCUUACAAUCUGGCACCAAUAAAAAUGACAUGAUCCAUUUUACUUCACUACUCAGGGAUGAAUUUACUGUCAGGUUUUUGCAUAGCAGUUUUUGCUAUGCAAAAUCUCAAUUGUGCGUAAGCUACAACAAGCAUGGAUAGCAUGUACAUGUAUGUAUCACAGUUUUCUGCGUGUCACUGUGAUUUUUGAGUAGCAGUAGAUCGAUUUUGCGUAGCAAACUGCGAUGCGAUACCGGAUAAAUUCAUCCCUGCUACUCCAUCUUACAGGCUACAAUUCCAAAUUCAUCAUAAAAAUUAAUAAUAGUAUGGAGAAGCACACAUGCAUGCAGGCUCAACUACUUCGAGUGCAUCAUGUCAGCUACAAAGAGGAUUGUGCUGCAUGGAAUUAGCCCAUUUGUGGCACAUCAAAGUGCAUGAAACUACAGCUGUAAAAAAAAAAGAGAGUAAAGUUUGCAUGUCCGCGUUACCACCGGCUAUCCAAUUGCGUUGAGAAACACAACCAGCUUAGGAAGUUUCGCAUGUGCCAGGCCACCACCAUGCCUGUGAUACCAGGGUAGCAGACAGCUGUGCUCGGUGAAAUCCGACUCGGUGCAUAUUUGGCGCCCUCAAUUUUAAUUUCCCAUGGCCUCCGACGCCCUGGAAGUGGUACAAAUGCGGCUGGAGUACACAUGCACAAGUACGGUGAUGUACAUGUACUAGUAAUCGGAAGCGGUCCAGGGCGCCAGAUUUGCACUUUGGAUUGGAUUUCAGUGAGCGCAAUUGUAUUAACUAUGGGAGGUACACUCAAAGAGCAGCAAAGGUGGCACGUACGACCCCCAGGCGGGCCCAACCAGCAUACAAUCAGUCACGUCCGGGCACAAAAUUCCGCUUACACCCACCAUCAACGCUGCCAACCAAAUUCCUUUCAGUUUGAUAAAAAAGAGAAAGAAAAAUCCAGAAUUCGAACCACAACCCAGAAUAACUUCAGAGAAAGAAAUAGUUUGGCAAGCAGUAUAGUCACUACUCGCAGCCAAAACCGAGAUUACAGAUGUUUUAUGUCUCGGCGAUCAUGAUGGAAAAAGCAUAUAUCUAAAGACAAGUCAUUUUGGAGAACACGUCUGAGUACGUACAAAGUGACCGCUACUACACUAACAUACACGCACACAUAGGAC